UUUAUUUGUGUGGACGUUGAAAGACAUAGAGUCUGGAUUAAACUGAGAAAGGGACUAGACUUGUCUCUGUUUCUCAUCAUUGAGGACCAUAUUGUAGACACUGUCAAGGGUAAGAGGAGGCUGCAUCAUCAGUAGGUUACUCCUUACACCCAUGUAAGCUUCAUUAAGGCCCAUGAGGAACUGAAACACCUUAUUCUUAUCAUCUUCCUGUAUGAUGCCAUUUCUGGCAGGACAAAUGCAUCUUUGUCCAUGGUUUGUACACAUUGUUCCUAAUUCAUCCCACAGUCCUUUAAGUUUGUUAAAAUAUGAGGCUACAUCUAGAUAUCCUUGAGAAGUAUGAGAGAGUUCUCUUUUUAGUUCAAAAAUUUUGGUUCUGUUAGCAGUACCAUAUCUAGCUGCGAGUUGUGCCCAUAUGCUCUGUGCAGUAUCAAAAUACUGCACACUCUCAGCUAUCUGAGGGGAU
rnacentral:lncRNA from 1 species